UAGCUCAGUGGGUAAAGUGUUUGCCUUGUAAGCAUGAGGACCUGAGUUCAAACCCCAG
rnacentral:tRNA from 1 species